rnacentral:rRNA from 1 species
AGCAGCCGCGGUAAUUCCAGCUCCAAUAGCGUAUAUUAAAGUUGUUGCAGUUAAAAAGCUCGUAGUUGAACUUCGGGAUCAGUACGUUGGUCGUGCCUUGGUACGUACUGGCGUCACUGGUUCCUACCUUCUGACGAACCGUCAUGUCAUUAAUUUGGUGUGGCGGGAAUCAGGACUGUUACUUUGAAAAAAUUGAGUGUUUAAAGCAGGCUCGCGCUUGAAUACAUUAGCAUGGAAUAAUGAAAUAGGACGUUCGAUCCUAUUUUGUUGGUUUCUAGGAUUGACGUAAUGAUUAAUAGGGAUAGUUGGGGGCAUUAGUAUUCAAUUGUCAGAGGUGAAAUUCUUGGAUUUAUUGAAGACUAACUACUGCGAAAGCAUUUGCCAAGGAUGUUUUCAUUAAUCAAGAACGAAGUUAGGGAUCGAAGACGAUCAGAUACCGUCGUAGUCUUAACCAUAAACUAUGCCGACUAGGGAUCGGAUGGAUGUUAUUUUUAAUGUACUCAUUCGGCGCCUUACGGGA